CUCUCCUCCUUCUUCUUCGUAUUGUGAAAUCCUCUUCGAUCAUAAGAAACCCUAAAAGCAUUGUGUGGGUUCCUGAUAUGCGAUUUUUAGUAAAUCGAUGAUUGUCGUCCGCUCACAGGGCCAAGAAAUUGAAAUCAAAGGGUUAGGGUUGGUUCGUCUCCAUCUCUCGUUCACUUCCAUUUCUACUUUCUCUUCCAUCUACAAUCUCACUUCCAUAACCCACUAAAAAUGUCUCUUCGAAUACUAGUUAGUAGUGGGAAAACCCUAGGUCCAUUCUGACGAUUACGCUUCGCAUACGAUUAUGGCGCCGCCACAGGAGGAUUUCUGCAGAUACGGUAUGGUUUCCGCCCUGCCGUUCGAUCUGCUCUUUUUGGUGGUGUUCUGUUAGCCAUUAUUGAAUGGUCUUGGAGCAUGCUUAGUAUGUUUAUGAGCACUCAACUGCAGAUUCCUGUGCUGAUCGAAGAGGCGCCACAAUCAGCUCCAAAUAUGAGUCCAUGAUUUGAUUUUCCUAAUCGCGCCUCGCAACCUGAGAUAACGCCUUUAUAUUGGUAUGGUCGCCUAUUUCUGAAUUACGCUGUUUCUAAAUCUUCUAAUUCUUCUAAACACAAUUGAUGCUUUAUUUCUCUACACUACUGCUUGUGAUUUUUGGUUGCUCUGUUACUACAUAAGACAGCAACCUGGUAAUCUUUGAAUGAUAAAUCACUGCCUGUUUAGGGAUAGUUUUUGGUGAACACCAACUGUUUGAUAAAAUGCCCCAAUGAGCGACUCUUGUGUUUGCAUGCUAUAUUAUAUAUUUAGAGCAAGGAACUACACAUGUUUUCAUUAAACCUGAGAUAAAAUGAAUUAUUCUUAUCUGUGAAAACACACACAUACCUGUAUAUGUUGUAUAUAAUUAUAUAAAAAGCAUUGUAGCUUAAAGAGACAAUUUCUUGAAAAUCUUUGUUUGGUUCACACAGUAUUGUUUAUUGUUGAUACAUGUUUGGGUAUGAUUACCUUGGUGGCUAUGAGCAUGAUAUGGGUGGCAGGCCUGGCUAUCCUGAUGAUAGGCCCCGUGGUAGGUAUGGUGGGCGCUCAUCUGGUGGGUACCAAGGUGGUCCAUCAGGUAAGCACCAGUUGAUCAUCAAAUAUAAUUGCUCAACAAAACAUGUAGUUUGUUUUUGGGGAGAGGCUAAGUUAGAUGACAACAUUUAAGUUAAAUACAUAAGUAUUAUACAUAACGUUUCCCUAAACUAAAAUAAUACAUUCUGACUCUGUCUGAAGGCAUAGAAACACUAGAAUGGGACAUAUACUUGUUGGAGACUUCUUUUUCUGUAGGUAUCAAGAAUACAAAUCAGAAUAUAUAUCAACUCUGAAUAUCCAACACAGGGGCCACUGGCUCAACAUACUACUGUUCACAGUCAAACUCUUCCCUCAACAGUUCCGUCUAAUCAGCAAUAACUUUCAUCACUCGGGUAGUUGGAAUACUAAGAAGCUUGAAACAAUCUUUAGCAAUUAAAACUUUAUUAGGCUGCACAAGUUUUUCAUUAGUUUCAUGCCCACUCAUAUAGGGGAAAUGAAAAAAAUUAUGGCUUGUAUAUUGUUCUGUUGUUAUUUCUUCUCUAUUGGAUGGUUAGAGUGGAAUGGAUAAAGAGCAAGCCAAGAAUCAUAUAUUGAGUUGUCAGAUGAUUACUAAUACAUGUUAAGUGAAGAGAAAACUUUACCUAAAGGGAAUCCACUCUUUCUUAACACAACACUCCAGAAUGAGAAUAUCAUUAUAAAGGUUUUUUUCAUAUCUAUUUUCAUUAACAUAUAAACAUUCAUAGAUUUGGAACUAAGGAAGAUGAAAUCAGUGAAAAAGUUGUGGCUAAUUCCGUUGACACUAAGGAAGAUGUAACCAAUAAAGAUGCAUUGAACAACACUUUAGAACUAGAGAAACAAAGUGAAAAAAAUGAGCUUGAUCCUGUUGAAAGUAAGGAAGAUGUAACAAAUGGACACAAAGAAAGCCUUCCCAAUCAGCCAGACGUGGGAAAGAUGGGAUAUGGUUGGAAGGAUUCAUGGGUAAGGAAACCAAUGGUUUAAUGAGGUCCCACAGUGUAGAUCAUGAAUUAAGUAAGUCCUACAAAUGUGAUUUGAUGAAAUUAAAGGCGUGUAGUUGGGGUAGAUGAGCAGUGGCAGCUGCUGCUAGGUUCUCCUAAAUGAGGUUGAUGGCAAGAAGCUUAAAAUUUGUAAGUUCUAUUGCUAUAAAAUAUCAUCUGUCAUUUGUAAAUGUUUACAGAUGAUAUUCUGUUAAAAGGUUUUGAUGCAUGUUUUGGUAUUAUUCAAACGGAUCCAAAAGCUAUGUAAGUUUUUUUUAUUGGUAUUAAAAAAAUUGCUUAUUUGUGUUUUUUCUAAUAAUGUUUCCGGUUUUGCCCCUUUUCAGGCGGGAGGGAUUAAAGAUGGUGAAAUGAAGAGGACUUUUAAUACGGGAAUCGGGAUGGUUUUGGUUGUUAGCAAAGAGGCUGCUGAAAGGGUACUUAGGGAAGAAGAUAUUUGAAAGUAAAGGUGAGUUGAGGAUAUUUUGCAACAAAAAACGACAAGUCACAAUCCUCUCAAGAAUUCCACUUUGCAAUUGUACAAUGUAUAUUCAGGAAUCUGGCUGACUGGUUGGGAGUUGAGGAGAUUGGUCUGUUCAAUCUCAAACCAAGUGUACGGCCUAUGCCUCUUGAAGUUCAUACACAGGCAAGUCAAAUUUCAAACCAAGUGUACGACCUGUACAAUGUAUAUGUGAACAGAGUUGUGGAAGAUUUUGAUGAUUGGACUAAUUGGCUUAUGUAUAAAGGUGGAGUUGGAGUGAAAGGAGACAAUAGUUGGGAAUCCUGGUGGGAUGAAGAGCAGGCACAUAUCCAGACAAUCAGAGGGCGUGUACUUGAAACUAUAUUGUGCUUGAGGUUCUUCAUAUUUCAAUUCGGGAUAGUCUACAAGCUCCAUCUCACUGGAAAUAAUACAUCAUUAUUGGUACUUACUAUUUUUAUUUAUUUCACUUUUUUUUCUACGUGAAAUAGAAAAAUGUUGUUUUUCUAGUAGUGUCCUCUUGGUGAUCCAUCAAUGAAGUGGCCAACUUGCAUCAUGUAAUAACAUUUUAGGUGAAGAUGUAGGUAUAUGUUUUUUAAUGAAUAAUAUCAUAUGUAUGAAUAUGAAACAAAGUUUGUUAUUUAGUAUAUGAUAAUCAUGUAUAGGGAAAAGUUUUCUAUUGAUUUGUUUUAUCUUUCCAUGGAUCGAUUAUUUGUAUAACAUUAAAUUUUAUUCAAUGGAUUGUAUUUUUUGUAUAUGGUAUUUAAUUUUUUUGUUAUGAGACAUUAAAUGCAGAUUUAAUUUGAAAAUUAGUAAAUCUAUAAAUAAUAUAUUUUUUAAACAUUUAAAAUUACGAUACGCAAAAAUGUGUGUCAUCUUCAUUUAUGACAUGGCCUUUCUUGACAAGGGCAUCCUUGAUACGCAUUGCGUGUCAUAAACACGCGCGUUGUAAGGUUACGACACGCAAAUGCGUGACGUCUUCCUUUAUGACAGGGCCUUCCUUGAUACACAUUGCGGAUCAUAAAUGCGUGUCAUAAAUGUGUGUCGUAAAUGCGCGUCGCAAAUAGACGAUGCGCAAAAGC